AAACAAAAAGUGAAGGCGACUGAUCAACAGCGUAUGGAUAGAUCAGCCAGAUUGUAGUACGCCGCUUUGAGCGUACGAAAAGCUGGAUGAACUAUACACUAGCUGUUAGGAGCUGUAACUGGAUUUCGNCCUCCUUUCCGUUUGAACGACGGGGGGACGCAGAAGGAUAAGGAAUGCGCACUGCUGGUCAUGUGCGUUCAAGCAGUAAGAGAGUCAGAUAGGCAAAUCCGUCUGGCAAUCUCAAGCUGUGAUGAGGAGGGAAAAUAAGUACCGAAGUUCCUGAUUUCACACUGCCAAGAAAAGCCUCUAGUGAGGAAAGAGGUGCCCGUACCGCAAACCGACACAGGUAGGCGAGGAGAGAAUCCUAAGGUGAUCGGGAGAACUCUCGUUAAGGAACUCGGCAAAAUGACCCCGUAACUUCGGGAGAAGGGGUGCUUCUUUUGCGAGAAGCCGCAGUGAAUAGGCCCAAGCGACUGUUUAGCAAAAACACAGGUCUCUGCGAAGCCGUAAGGCGAAGUAUAGGGGCUGACACCUGCCCGGUGCUGGAAGGUUAAGGGGACGCGUUAGCCCUCGUGGCGAAGCGUUGAACCGAAGCCCCAGUAAACGGCGGCCGUAACUAUAACGGUCCUAAGGUAGCGAAAUUCCUUGUCGGGUAAGUUCCGACCCGCACGAAAGGUGCAACGACUUGGGCACUGUCUCAACGAGAGACCCGGUGAAAUUAUACUAUGCGUGAAGAUGCGCAUUACCCGCGACAGGACGGAAAGACCCCGUGGAGCUUUACUGUAGCCUGAUAUUGAAUGUUGGUACAGCUUGUACAGGAUAGGUGGGAGCCUUAGAAACCGGAGCGCUAGCUUCGGUGGAGGCGCCGGUGGGAUACCACCCUGGCUGUACGGACCUUCUAACCCAGGACCGUGAUCCGGUCCGGAGACAGUGUCAGGUGGGCAGUUUGACUGGGGCGGUCGCCUCCCAAAGAGUAACGGAGGCGCCCAAAGGUUCCCUCAGAAUGGUUGGAAAUCAUUCGCAGAGUGUAAAGGCAGAAGGGAGCUUGACUGCGAGACCUACAAGUCGAGCAGGGACGAAAGUCGGGCUUAGUGAUCCGGCGGUGCCGUAUGGAAGGGCCGUCGCUCAACGGAUAAAAGCUACCCCGGGGAUAACAGGCUUAUCUCCCCCAAGAGUCCACAUCGACGGGGAGGUUUGGCACCUCGAUGUCGGCUCAUCGCAUCCUGGGGCUGUAGUCGGUCCCAAGGGUUGGGCUGUUCGCCCAUUAAAGCGGUACGCGAGCUGGGUUCAGAACGUCGUGAGACAGUUCGGUCCCUAUCCGUCGUGGGCGUUGGAAGUUUGAGAGGAGCUGUCCUUAGUACGAGAGGACCGGGAUGGACACACCGCUGGUGUACCAGUUGUUCCGCCAGGAGCAUAGCUGGGUAGCUACGUGUGGAAGGGAUAAGUGCUGAAAGCAUCUAAGCAUGAAGCCCCCCUCUAGAUGAGACUUCCCAUCAUUUCAAAUGAGUAAGAUCCCUCAGAGACGAUGAGGUUGAUAGGUCCGAGGUGGAAGCGUGGUGACACGUGCAGCUGACGGAUACUAAUCGAUCGAGGACUUAACUUA
rnacentral:rRNA from 1 species